GGUCAUAUGGUGUAGUCGGUUAUCACGUCUGCUUUACACGCAGAAGGUCGCCGAUUCGAGUUCGGCUAUGAUCA
rfam:Strongyloides ratti strain ED321 Heterogonic genome assembly, scaffold: srae_chrx_scaffold0000002